rnacentral:rRNA from 1 species
GACGAACGCUGGCGGCGUGCUUAACACAUGCAAGUCGAACGGAAAGGCCUGCUUUCCCUUGUGGAUUGCGGGUACUCGAGUGGCGAACGGGUGAGUAACACGUGAGUGAUCUGCCCCCAACUUGGGUAUAAGCCUGGGAAACUGGGUCUAAUUCCCGAUAGGACUGCAGGGUGGUGCCUGUGGUGGAAAACGAUUUUCUAGUGGUUGGGGAUGAGCUCGCGGCCUAUCAGCUUGUUGGUGGGGUAAUGGCCUACCAAGGCGGCGACGGGUAGCCGGCCUGGGGGGGUGGACGGACAGGUUGGGAGUGAGAACCGGCCCAGACACAUGCGGGAGGCGGCGGGGGGGAAUAGUGCGCAGGGGGGGGGAGCUUGAGGCGGGGGCCCGGCGUGGGGGAGCACGGCCUGGGGGUUGGAAACUCCUUUCGACCGCGGGGAAGCCCCCUGGUGGAAAGGGUGGGAAGGUAAGUGGUAAAAAAGGCCCGGCUAAAUUCGUG